GACGAACGCUGGCGGCGUGCUUAACACAUGCAAGUCGAACGGAAAGGCCCUGCUUUUGUGGGGUGCUCGAGUGGCGAACGGGUGAGUAACACGUGAGUAACCUGCCCUUGACUUUGGGAUAACUUCAGGAAACUGGGGCUAAUACCGGAUAGGAGCUCCUGCUGCAUGGUGGGGGUUGGAAAGUUUCGGCGGUUGGGGAUGGACUCGCGGCUUAUCAGCUUGUUGGUGGGGUAGUGGCUUACCAAGGCUUUGACGGGUAGCCGGCCUGAGAGGGUGACCGGCCACAUUGGGACUGAGAUACGGCCCAGACUCCUACGGGAGGCAGCAGUGGGGAAUAUUGCACAAUGGGCGGAAGCCUGAUGCAGCAACGCCGCGUGAGUGAAGAAGGUCUUCGGAUCGUAAAACUCUGUUAUUAGGGAAGAACAAAUGUGUAAGUAACUAUGCACGUCUUGACGGUACUUAAUCAGAAAGCCACGGCUAACUACGUG
rnacentral:rRNA from 1 species